AGGUGGCUAUCAAAUCACAGUUGGGCAGUAUAACCAUAAAGCAGCGGUCAAUGCGCGAAAAGGAGGCGUCGGUCUGUUGCGUUCCCUACACCGAGUGGCUGUGGAAGAAGCCCGUCCGAUUCUGGUUUAUUAUCCUCUUGCUCCUUAGCCCAGUCGAUUUUACGUUUCUCGACCUCCGUUGUUCUUGAUUUCUCCACCCGGUCUCUGAAAACUUUCCAUCUUCUGGUGAAUUCUGGGGACUCACAAGUGUGGAUCGACCGCAAGGCGAGAAAAGUUGCGAUCUUGGUUGCUGGGGGACUCCUUUUCUUCGCCUUUUCUCUUUUCUUUGGCAGUAUCUCCACCCAGAUGCCAUUCUUCUGCUUUUCCUGGAGUUCUCCUUUCCGUGUGGCUUAGAGCGAUCCCAAAAUUGCAGCAGAAUCCUAUCUUCAUUCCGGAUUUGGUGUUCUGGAUUCUGGAGUUUCAUUCCCUAGGGGUAAGGUUGCUCCUUGCUUCGGAUUCCAACCCUUUAUGAUCUUUUUCCAGUCCGAUGCCGAGUUUAUUGUGAGGUUACCAUCGAGGAAGUUGCUGCUGGUUUUGAUCGAAAGUUUCUGAGUUUUGAGAGCAAUUUUUGUCGGGAAGUUCCCCUUUUGGUUCGUCAAAUGGGCUUUCGAUGGUUGUGAUCUGACAUGAGGGUUUUAUCCUGCGAUUGCCACUAUACGCUCGUCUGCUGCUCGAGGUCGUCGGUCCGCUGUUACCCGCCUUGCCCUCCGAAGUCGCAAUGGGCAGAUGCCAAAAACGUUGCCCCGACCGAAGCUCCAGUUUCUGUUGUGUUGGAGGAGAAGCCUUCUGAAGAAAAGGUUGUGGUUGAGCAGAACACUGAGGAGGAUGGGAAAGUUGAGAUCUCUCUGAAGAGCAGCCUAAAGAAGCCAAGAGCAUCAGAUUCAGAACAGGUCGAAAAGAGAAACGUUAAAUGGAUGGACUUGUUGGGGAAGGAACUUCUUGAGAUCAGGGAAUUUGAGACAAUUGAAUCUGAAGAAUCAGAGGGUUAUGCUGAUGGCAACACAACAUGCAUUUGUGUCAUUCAAUGACAAUCAUUUACUUGUGACGGAGAACAAAUAGUGAUUAUUAAUUAUCCAGCUGCUAUGAACCUCAGCUCGAGGUUAUAGUUCUGCCAUCGAGAAUUUGCAAUGAGAAUUGAUCGAGCCAUCAAGCAUCCAGCUUUCCUUCUCCUUCAGAAUUCCCUUCACAUUUAGAAGAAAUACAUCGAAGUCAAAGUUAUGCAGAUGUAGUUCGGCUCAUCGUCAUCCAGCUCUGGAGUUGCACGUAGGAGGAACAGAUACUGAUAAAAAAGAGCAGCCAAUACCAACAGUUAACAAGCAACCUUCAAUUCCUGAAGAUGGUUAUGAGUGGAACAAGUAUGGCCAAAAAUACAUCAAAAACAUUAGGAAGAUCAGUGCAGAAGCUACUACAGAUGCCGGCGGAAAGAGUGCAACGCAAGGAAGAGGCUGGAAUGGUCUCCUGCUAACCCAACCAUCUUGAGAGUUAUCUACGACGGAAUGCAUGAUCACCGGUCUCCUUCGGAUGCUGAGCAGGUUCACAGUGUAGAUGUAAACCAGUAUGAGCUUGGCAACCAAGUUUUAGGGCAACUUAAUGGCACUCAGCAGGUUUAGUCUCUUCUUAAGAAUUUGCAUGGAAUGGAAUUCACAUGUAUUUGUAUAGAUCUCAAUCCUUGAUGUAUAGCAAGCCCAUCUGCCAAUGUCAAUCUAUAGGUUUCCUCUGAUGUCUGACACAAUGCUGUUGAUGGGUUUAGAAUGUAUGUAUCAAACAAUCUUAUACAAUCAAUAAAGUUCACUUCAAUCCUUCCAUGA